UUCAACUCUCUCACCUCUCACCCUCAUCGAACUUCUCCCAUCUUCACCCUUACCCAGUUGAAACUCAGAUUCUUUCACGCUCACCCUCACCUUCACCUUCAAUUUGUUUCUCAGACCUACCAUCCACUCUAACUCUUAACCACCCUCAAUUUUUUUCUCCAAAUAUAGGAUUAGGGUUUCAACGACACCGUCCCCUCUUGAAAUCUCUGCGGAACCCUUGAGCUUCUUCAUGAUAACAUUAUGAGACCUUUACGCCUCCACAAGUCUAACACCACAGGAGCCGAUAGAAACAAUCUUUGAAAUACAUUUUUCAUCCUACUUACUUUAAUCAGCGGUUUUAUUCACACCAAUAGAGAAAAAAUUGGUAGAUGAGCACUUGGGUCCGCUUUUCUUAUUCUUCGUAAGUCUGAGAGAAAAGAAGGCAGUAACCUUGGAUCUACAAGUCAUGCCUAAGCACAAAGUAUUAUAAAGAUUUCUCUAACAAACUCCACAAAGGGUCCUCCAAAAGAUGCUUGUAAGGCUAGGAACUCUUGAAUUCUGUCUCUAAAUUGUAAAUUUUCGGUCGAUACUAAUUAAUUGUUCAUGUAGUUUCUACUUAUCUUCUAUUAAUAUUUGUAUUUUGUAAGUACUUAAAUUUUGAGAAGAAUUGAUAUUUUAUUUUAGUAGAAAUGUUGUAAAAUCAGUAUCGGUCAUUAAUGCACAAAAUGAAAACAAGGGCAUUUAAUAGCGCUUCCUUGAAAAGUGCUAUUAAAUAUUAGGUCUAUAAUAGCGCUUUUCAUUAAAGUGCUAUUAAAUCCAAUUUUGAAACCGUAUAAACCAACACAAACAGGAUGUGAUACCGCUUUAAUGGGAAACGCUAUUAAAGCAUUUUCUUUUAAUAGCGCUUAAAAAGUGCUAUCAUUAGUAUAUGACAUAUAAUAGCGGAGGAUUUAAUAGCGCUUUGAAGGAGAUUUAUCAAAAUGAAGUAACGUCUUUACAGAAGACUACCUGGAGAGGUUCCUGAAUAGAAUAGAUCAUUGACUGAUGUAAAAGAGAUUAGGCUUUAAACAAAGCUCGGGAAAAAGUGUCUUGCAGAAGAUUAACUAAGAAACUUCUUGAAAGGGCAGUAGAUGUCUUAGAAAAGAUUGGAUAAAUAUUUUAAAGAAGAUUACCUAAAGAGGUUGAGAUAUGUCUUAAAUAAGAAUAACCUUGAAAGGAUAUGACACGUCUUAAACAAGACUACCUAGAAAGGCUAUGACACGUCUUAAACAAGACUACCUAGAAAGGCUCCUAGAAAGGAUAUGAUACGUCUUAAACAAGACUACCUAGAGAGGCUCCUAGAAAGGAUAUGAAAAGUCUUAAACAAGACUCACCUAGAAAGGCUCCUAGAAAGGAUAUGAUACGUCUUAAAC